AAGUUGAGAAAAGGAUGCCUUAGAGUUAAUGUGGUCUACAAAUGAACAUGAAUAUGUUGAGAAAAAAAAAGUAAUGAAUGUUAAGGGAGUAUAAAUGGAAGAAGAAUUAAUCAAUCGAGAAAUAAUCUGUAUAUUACUGAGCUGGAGCCUAUGAAUUAUUUUGUUGUUGUUUGUUUUUUAGGUCCCUUAUACUUCUAAGAUGUUAUGAUCUAAUAAAAUUCAUUUGAAUAAGCCUUUAUUAAAUAUGUACUGUGUGCAUACCAUUUUGCUAGAUGCUGGAGGAUAAGGAAAGGAAAGGAAAGGAAAGGAAAGGAAAGGAAAGGAAAGGAAAGGAAAGGAAAGGAAAGGAAAGGAAAGGAAAGGAAAGGAAAGGAAAGGAAAGGAAAGGAAAGGAAAGGAAAGGAAAGGAAAGGAAAGGAAAGGAAAGGAAGAAAAAGAAAGGAAUGAAGGAAGGAAGGAAAGAAGG
rnacentral:lncRNA from 1 species